rnacentral:misc_RNA from 1 species
GAACGCACAUUGCGCCCUUUGGUAUUCCGAAGGGCAUGCCUGUCUGAGCGUCAAUAGGACAAUCAAAUUUCGGUUUGGUAUUGGGGGAAGUGGCAUUCAUUGUCACUCUCCUGUAAGCUAUUGGCGACACUAUUUCAGCUUGUAAAACGUAGUAAGUAAUUUCUCGUUAUAGCAAACUUAUAUAGAUGUCUGCCAACUAAAAGUAUUUAUUUUAUAGCUUGACCUCAGAUCAGGUAGGGAUACCCCUUGAACUUAAG